rnacentral:rRNA from 1 species
AGGACGAACGCUGGCGGCGUGCUUAACACAUGCAAGUCGAGCGGAAAGGCCCUUCGGGGUACUCGAGCGGCGAACGGGUGAGUAACACGUGAGGAACCUGCCCUGGACUUUGGGAUAACCCUCGGAAACGGGGGCUAAUACCGAAUACGACUGCUGAUCGCAUGGUUGGUGGUGGAAAGUUUUUCGGUCUGGGAUGGUCUCGCGGCCUAUCAGCUUGUUGGUGGGUAAUGGCCUACCAAGGCGACGACGGGUAG